rnacentral:rRNA from 1 species
UUGAUUUGAUUCUUCGGAUGAAGAUCUUGGUGACUGAGUGGCGGACGGGUGAGUAACGCGUGGGUAACCUGCCUCAUACAGGGGGAUAACAGUUAGAAAUGACUGCUAAUACCGCAUAAGACCACAGCACCGCAUGGUGCAGGGGUAAAAACUCCGGUGGUAUGAGAUGGACCCGCGUCUGAUUAGGUAGUUGGUGGGGUAACGGCCUACCAAGCCGACGAUCAGUAGCCGACCUGAGAGGGUGACCGGCCACAUUGGGACUGAGACACGGCCCAAACUCCUACGGGAGGCAGCAGUGGGGAAUAUUGCACAAUGGGGGAAACCCUGAUGCAGCGACGCCGCGUGAGCGAUGAAGUAUUUCGGUAUGUAAAGCUCUAUCAGCAGGGAAGAAAAUGACGGUACCUGACUAAGAAGCACCGGCUAAAUACGUGCCAGCAGCCGCGGUAAUACGUAUGGUGCAAGCGUUAUCCGGAUUUACUGGGUGUAAAGGGAGCGUAGACGGAGUGGCAAGUCUGAUGUGAAAACCCGGGGCUCAACCCCGGGACUGCAUUGGAAACUGUCAAUCUAGAGUACCGGAGAGGUAAGCGGAAUUCCUAGUGUAGCGGUGAAAUGCGUAGAUAUUAGGAGGAACACCAGUGGCGAAGGCGGCUUACUGGACGGUAACUGACGUUGAGGCUCGAAAGCGUGGGGAGCAAACAGGAUUAGAUACCCUGGUAGUCCACGCCGUANACGAUGACUACUAGGUGUCGGGCAGCAAAGCUGUNCGGUGCCGCAGCAAACGCAAUAAGUAG